CACCAAGACUACGUGAUUCAAGUGCUGC
rnacentral:sRNA from 1 species